CGUAAGGCGCCGAAUGAGUCAUUAAAAAAUUAACAUCAUCCGAUCCCUAGUCGGCAUAGUUUAUGGUUAAGACUACGACGGUAUCUGAUCGUCUUCGAUCCCCUAACUUUCGUUCUUGAUUAAUGAAAACAUCCUUGGCAAAAUGCUUUUCGCAGUAGUUAGUCUUCAAUAAAUCCAAAGAAUUUCACCUCUGACAAUUGAAUACUAAUCGCCCCCAAUAUCCCUAUUAAUCAUUACGUCAAUCCUAAGAAACCAACAAAAUAGGAUCGAACGUCCUAUUUCAUUAUCCAUGCUAAUGUA
rnacentral:rRNA from 1 species